GAUGAAGAACGUAGCGAAAUGCGAUAAGUAAUGUGAAUUGCAGAAUUCAGUGAAUCAUCGAAUCUUUGAACGCACAUUGCGCCCGCCAGUAUUCUGGCGGGCAUGCCUGUCUGAGCGUCAUUUCAACCCUCAAGCAACUUCUGCUUGGUGUUGGGGAUCGGCCGUUAAACGCCGCCCCCGAAAUCUAUUGGCGAUCUCGCUGUAGCUUCCUAUGCGUAGUAGUAACAUCUCGCAUCUGGAGAGCGGCGCGGUCAUGCCGUAAAACACCCAACUUCUCAAGUUGACCUCAGAUCAGGUAGGAAUACCCGCUGAACUUAAGCAUAUCAAUAAGCGGAGGA
rnacentral:misc_RNA from 1 species